GACGAACGCUGGCGGCGUGCCUAAUACAUGCAAGUAGAACGCUGAAGAGAGGAGCUUGCUCUUCUUGGAUGAGUUGCGAACGGGUGAGUAACGCGUAGGUAACCUGCCUGGUAGCGGGGGAUAACUAUUGGAAACGAUAGCUAAUACCGCAUGAAAUUGCCUAUCGCAUGAUAAUUAAUUGAAAGAUGCAAUUGCAUCACUACCAGAUGGACCUGCGUUGUAUUAGCUAGUUGGCGAGGUAACGGCUCACCAAGGCGACGAUACAUAGCCGACCUGAGAGGGUGAUCGGCCACACUGGGACUGAGACACGGCCCAGACUCCUACGGGAGGCAGCAGUAGGGAAUCUUCGGCAAUGGGGGGAACCCUGACCGGGCAACGCCGCGUGAGUGAAGAAGGUUUUCGGAUCGUAAAGCUCUGUUGUAAGAGAAGAACGGGUGUGAGAGUGGAAAGUUCACACUGUGACGGUAUCUUACCAGAAAGGGACGGCUAACUACGUGC
rnacentral:rRNA from 1 species